GCUUGCCUUGCUCCUAAGAUGUCCUUCAGGCUCUUUUUUGUGGUCCUGAGUCUCCUGUGUGCAAAAGACAUGGAGGCUGCAGUCACCCAAAGCCCAAGGAACAAGGUGACAGUAACAGGAGGAAAUGUGACCUUGAGCUGUUACCAGAAUAAUAACCAUGACUACAUGUACUGGUAUCGUCAGGACAUGGGGAAUGGACUCAGGCUGAUCCAUUACUCAUAUGGUGCUGGCAUAACUGAGAAAGGAGAUGUCCCUGAUGGCUACAAGGCUUCCAGACCAAGAACAGAGGACUUCUCCCUGGUGCUGGAGCUGGCUUCGCCCUCUCAGACAGCUGUGUACUUCUGUGCCAGCAGUGAUACACAGAGAUGCAUGUCUGCCUGCCCUCUGCACAUGAAGUAAAUAAGGAAAACACUUUGUGUGCCCCAGGAAGACCCUGUCUCUGUAAGAGUCACUGAGCUCUGGCACACUAGGAACCUUACAGCAUGAGUUCCUAGGUGA